GGUGGGGGCAGCCACACUCCUGCUGCCUCCGCCGCCAGCAGCAACUCCAAUAUUAGCGGAUUGGCAGUAAGGAUGGAGAGGAAGAUAAUCCGGCAGUCGCCCUACUGACGGUUGUGUUCAUAAGACUGGAUUCUGGUGUAUUGGUGGAAGUGAUGUGCUCCACUGGUCAUAAAACUCCUUGGAUGAUUGUCUAAGCUCUUACUUCCCUUACCAUGAAUGCCUGGGAGGCCUCAAGUUUAAGAUGCAAGCAUCAUAGAAUGGAAGGAGACUAGAUCCCUGAGUCAUCUUGUGGAGGAAAUCUACCAAGGAGAGUUGCCCGACAGCGCUGGACUGUGAUAUACUGUGAUAAGAGCUGAAUCUACAUUGAGGAACACAACCCCCAGGGGGCUCCUACCCCUUGGAGUUUUUCCAUCUUGUGGAGGAGUUUGGUGCUAACUCGUGGUAAGAGAAAAACACCAGUGGUUGCUCCUGAUAGGUGCUAUUUCAAGUCUCCAAAUGUCCACUUUAAGAAAAGCAAAAAAUAAUCAUGAUGAAAAAUAAGAAUAUCAUGCACCCUUUUUGUCUUUAGAGAUUGCAAAGAAAUUUCUUAUAGGGAUAUUCUUUCAACUCUUUCUUCAAAAGAUAGAGAAGCCGUUCCUCCCUGGGUAAACGUAUACCCUACGUCUCCUUCUGAAGACAUGCCAUGGGUAGUCUCCCUCACGCUAGGCCUCUGGCUGCAACUGGAAUUUAAAAAUAAUUUAGAAUAUUUCCUUUUUUUGCAAAGAAGCCACUUUAAAAAUACUGAUGGCAUGAGAGGCACAGGGAUGCCAUUUCUAGGAAAUGACUUUUUUUCUGGCUUAACAUUUUUAACAUUGUUGUUAGCUAGAGGGGAAUUAAACAGCUCUGUGUAUGUAUUUACUUUGGGAAAUGUGAGCUAAUUCAGAGUAAGAUUUAUGUCUCUAAUUAAUAAUUAAAAUUUAUGAUCCUCCCAA